rnacentral:rRNA from 1 species
GCUGGGCCUGUGGCCGAUUAGCUAGUUGGUGUGGUAAGAGCGCACCAAGGCGACGAUCGGUAGCUGGUCUGAGAGGACGAGCAGCCACACUGGGAUUGAGAACGGCCCAGACUCCUACGGGGGGCAGCAGUGAGGAAUUUUCGGCAAUGGGCGCAAGCCUGACCGAGCAACGCCGCGUGCAGGACGACGCGUUUCGGCGUGUAAACUGCUUUUCUGUGGGACGAGCAAGGACGGUACCACAGGAAGAAGCCCCGGCUAACUACGUGCCAGCAGCCGCGGUAAGACGUAGGGGGCGAGCGUUGUCCGGAGUUACUGGGCGUAAAGGGCCCGCAGGCGGGAGGGUGCGUUUGGUGUGACAGCUCGUGGCUUCACUACGAGAGGAUACCAAAGACGGCCGUUCUUGAGGGCCAGAGAGGGACCUGGAAGUCCGGGUGGAGCGGUGAAAUGCGUAGAGAUCCGGAGG